rnacentral:rRNA from 1 species
CUACGGGUGGCAGCAGUGGGGAAUAUUGCACAAUGGAGGAAACUCUGAUGCAGCAACGCCGCGUGGAGGAUGACACUUUUCGGAGCGUAAACUCCUUUUAUAUAGGAAGAAGAUGACGGUACUAUAUGAAUAAGCGCCGGCUAACUCCGUGCCAGCAGCCGCGGUAAUACGGAGGGCGCAAGCGUUACUCGGAAUCACUGGGCGUAAAGAGCGUGUAGGCGGAUUAAAAAGUCAGAAGUGAAAUCCUAUAGCUUAACUAUAGAACUGCUUCUGAAACCCUUAAUCUAGAAUAUGGGAGAGGUAGAUGGAAUUUCUGGUGUAGGGGUAAAAUCCGUAGAGAUCAGAAGGAAUACCGAUUGCGAAGGCGAUCUACUAGAACAUUAUUGACGCUGAGACGCGAAAGCGUGGGGAGCAAACAGGAUUAGAUACCCGUGUAGUC